AUAAAACUGCAGAGAAUGCUGAAAGAAACUUGUCCACCGCCGCGUGCGCAACUGCGGUGAAGUUUUCACCCAUAUUGCAAGCUAGUGUCACAAGUAAGCAGUGAUUGAGAAGCUGAAAAACAAAAGUGACAGUUUGUAGGAUGUAUUCUUAACUGAUAAGCGUGAAAUCUGCUGAGGGGUGCCAACGUAGUGGGAACGUUGUGAACAUCCUGUAAAACGGUAAGGAAUGAAGGAAAUAAUUGUUGAGAUCAAUAACAUGCAGAAGAACCCUCCUCCCUCUCCGGUGCUUGCGUAUUAUGGGAAAACAUGACAUGACAAAACUUUUAAUAUUACGAUAUCAAAAAAUUGGAGGACCAAGGAUCAACCAAAGAGCAUACGUGGCUCAAGCUGUGGGCUUUCGGUGGGUGGAAGCUGAAGGACGGCAUAAUCACACAUCUCUCUCCUGCCCCGCCCUUUUGCUGACAGAGAUCAUAUAGUUCUGCUGGAUAUGCCACAUCAAUUUAAAGUCAUUUUUAUUUUGUUCAUAAUCAACUUUUAUAUUUUACCCAUUUGGCAUUUAUCCAAAGUGACUUACAGUGCAUUAAAUGUACAAUAUACUUGAUCACUAUAUCAAUCUUUUGACAUUUGCAUUGCUAACACAAUGCUUUACCAAUUGAGCUUCAAAAACACUUAUUUUGUUUAGUAGUGCUUGUGAUAUAACUGAUCUGGGCUCUAACAAUGCUUAUGUAUGGGAUCAUCGCAAUGCACAUACUACUGUAAUGAAGCAUAGGCCUAUAGUCUAAAAAAUACUGCUAAUUGUUUUCAAUUAAAGCAUCUUUUAAAUGCAUCAAUGUAAACUUACGCCUGCAUGCUUUGUUUUAUUAAAUAUUGUGUGACAAUUACCAGCCAAGAUGUUGAUGAUGUAAAAAAACUAGAGUAUAUUAAUUUUAAUGUAAUAUAGAUGUUUUUGCAUAUUUAUUAAUGCCCAAUUAUAUGCACUUCAAUAUAUAAAGUCAAAAUCCAUAUUUUUGUAUUUAAAAUGGAAAAGUUUCCAUUCGAUUCAAAAGUUUAUCGCUAGACUGAAGAAAAGCCACCUGUUGUAGGUCUACUUCAUCUAAAGUACCAUAAAGAAACGGUUUGCAUGUCUAUUAAAAAGGUGACAACUCAAGUUCAAAAACAGCUCUGCAUAUUUUUUUAUUUUGCUAUUUAUAUUUUUAUUGAAUGUAUAUUAUUGUCCUUAGAAGAUAUUUGUAAAUGAAUAAUAUGAA